GAAAAUAGUCUAAGAAUAAAAGGGCACUAAACACGUAUCCAUCAAUAAUCACCUUAAAUGUAAAUGACUUAAAUGCUCCAAACAAAAGACAUAAGGCAGCUGAAUGGAUAAGAAAACAAGACCCAUCCAAGUUCGAUUCCCA